GGCCCGUCGCCUAGCCAGGAUAGGGCACCAGCCUCCUAAGCUGGUCUUUCGGGGGUUCAAAUCCCUCCGGGCCCG
rnacentral:tRNA from 1 species